rnacentral:piRNA from 1 species
GCAUGCCAUAAUUUCUUUAG